rnacentral:rRNA from 1 species
AUUGAACGCUGGCGGCAGGCCUAACACAUGCAAGUCGAGCGAGCGGCGGACGGGUGAGUAAUGUAUGGGGACUGCCCGAUAGAGGGGAAUACUACUGGAAACGGUUGCUAAAACCGCCUACUUGCGGGUAACCCCUAUGGGAUUAGCUAGUAGGUAAGGUAAUGGCUUAACUAGGCGACGAUCCCUAGCUGGUCUGAGAGGAUGAUCCGCCACACUGGGACUGAGACACGGCCCAGACUCCUACGGAGGCAGCAGUGGGGAAUAUUGCACAAUGGGCGCAAGCCUGAUGCAGCCAUGCCGCGUGUAUGAAGAAGGCCCUAGGGUUGUAAAGUACUUUCAGUCGGGAGGCGUUACCGACAGAAGAAGCACCGGCUAACUCCGUGCCAGCAGCCGCGGUAAUUC